UACGUAGGGUGCAAGCGUUGUUCGGAAUUACUGGGCGUAAAGCGCGCGUAGGCGGGUUGGAAAGUCGAUUGUGAAAGCCCUAGGCUUAACCUGGGAAUUUGCAGUCGAAACUCCCAAUCUUGAGUGCCUGAGAGGAUGGCGGAAUUCCCGGUGUAGUAGUGAAAUACGUAGAUAUCGGGGAAGAAACACCUGAGGCGAAAGGGCGGCUAUCUGG
rnacentral:rRNA from 1 species